GAUCCUGGCUCAGGAUGAACGCUGGCGGCGUGCCUAACACAUGCAAGUCGAGCGGAAGCAUUUUAAAGGAAGUUUUCGGAUGGAAUUUGGAAUGACUGAGCGGCGGACGGGUGAGUAACGCGUGGGUAACCUGCCUCAUACAGGGGGAUAACAGUUAGAAAUGACUGCUAAUACCGCAUAAGCACACAGUACCGCAUGGUACAGUGUGAAAAACUCCGGUGGUAUGAGAUGGACCCGCGU
rnacentral:rRNA from 1 species